UAAUUGAAGUCCCAUGCGGAUGGAGGUGAAAUCAGUCGAAGAUACCAGCUGGCUGCAACUGUUUAAUAAAAACACAGCACUGUGCAAACACGAAAGUGGACGUAUACGGUGUGACGCCUGCCCGGUGCUGGAAGGUUAAUUGAUGGGGUUAUGCUUAUGCAGAAGCUCUUGAUCGAAGCCCCAGUAAACGGCGGCCGUAACUAUAACGGUCCUAAGGUAGCGAAAUUCCUUGUCGGGUAAGUUCCGACCUGCACGAAUGGCGUAAUGAUGGCCAGGCUGUCUCCACCCGAGACUCAGUGAAAUUGAAAUUGCCGUGAAGAUGCGGUGUACCCGUGGCAAGACGGAAAGACCCCGUGAACCUUUACUAUAGCUUGACAGUGAACAUUGAGCCUUAAUGUGUAGGAUAGGUGGGAGACAAAGAAGUGUGUACGCCAGUAUGCAUGGAGUCGCCCUUGAAAUACCACCCUUUAAUGUUUGAUGUUCUAACCUAUACUUCUGAAUCGAGGUAAGGGACACUGUCUGGUGGGUAGUUUGACUGGGGCGGUCUCCUCCCAAAGAGUAACGGAGGAGCACGAAGGUUAGCUAAUCCUGGUCGGACAUCAGGAGGUUAGUGCAAUGGCAAAAGCUAGCUUGACUGCGAGAGUGACGGCUCGAGCAGGUACGAAAGUAGGUCAUAGUGAUCCGGUGGUUCUGAAUGGAAGGGCCAUCGCUCAACGGAUAAAAGGUACUCCGGGGAUAACAGGCUGAUACCGCCCAAGAGUUCAUAUCGACGGCGGUGUUUGGCACCUCGAUGUCGGCUCAUCACAUCCUGGGGCUGAAGUAGGUCCCAAGGGUACGGCUGUUCGCCGUUUAAAGUGGUACGCGAGCUGGGUUUAGAACGUCGUGAGACAGUUCGGUCCCUAUCUGCCAUGGGCGUAGGAAAAUUGAGAGGGUUUGCUUCUAGUACGAGAGGACCGAAGUGAACGCACCGCUGGUGUUCGGGUUGUGAUGCCAAUUGCAUUGCCCGGUAGCUACGUGCGGAAUAGAUAAGUGCUGAAAGCAUCUAAGUACGAAACUAGCCUUGAGAUGAGUUUUCCCUGAAGAGAUUCAGUAAGGUCCGUUUGAGACUAAGACGUAGAUAGGUCAGGUGUGUAAGUGUAGUGAUACAUUGAGCUAACUGAUACUAAUGAACCGAGAGUCUUAACCUUACAACUC
rnacentral:rRNA from 1 species